rnacentral:lncRNA from 1 species
CAAAAUAUAGAAUGACUCUUUUUUCUGGGAUAUUCAUAAAUCAAACGGUUCACCUCUGAAGCUCCUUCAGUAGUGUCUCAAGAACAUGCUUUAUCGGUACUGACUGCGGGUCUCAGGAAAUACUGAAGAUAUAAGGUGGCGCUGAAAGACGGCAGCUUUAGCGAUUCCACGACCUACUUACGUGGCGUUGGACUGGAAGGGGGAAAUAAAGGAAAUCACUUCUGAGCUGAGACCAAGCAAGGAAUGUUUCAGCCGUGAAGGAAUUAGUCUGAGAAAGUUCCAAGCAGCUGAAAAAGUGGAAUGGAAGAGAAACGGCAUUUUCAUCCUAGCUAUGUUAUCAGCAGCAUUUGCUCUAAUCGCUGAUAACAACAAGAAUCUCUGUAACCUCCUCCCUGCCUUCUGAUGUCUGGUUUGGUGAUGUGAUCAAAGGCUGGGAAGGAAGCGUGUUUGGUAUGAAAG